rnacentral:lncRNA from 1 species
UGAGCGCUCCGUUUGAAACAUGGCGCGGGCUGCCCCGUGGCUGGUGCUGAGUGAGGAAGCGAUCCGGUGGAAGAGCGGCCUGGAGCCUCAGCGCAACCUGGCCGAGCUUCCGUCAUUGUCUAUCCCUGGAACUUACCAAGAGAUCACCCACCUGGGACAUUCUCUGAUGCGUUUAACGGGUCUGAAAUCUCUCGAUCUCUCACGCAACUCCUUGGUUAGCCUGGAGGGUAUUCAGUACCUGACUGCCCUGGAGAGUCUCAGUCUCUACCACAGCUGCAUCUCCUCGCUGGCAGAAGUGUUUCGGCCCCACUCCCUGACCGAGCUUGUGGACGUGGACUUGCGGCUGAACCCCGUGGUGAAGGCCGAGUCUGACUACCGCCAUUUUGUUGUGCACCUGCUCCCCAGGCUCCGGCGGCCGGAAUGAUUUGAGACAACAUUUAGAUACAUCUUCGGAAGAGAAUAGUGGCUUAAAAUCGCUUUUGUUCAGUAUGAAAAAGGAGGUGAAAAAUGCAGACGCUGCAGCUACCUUAAAUCUGCAGCUCGCUG